AUUGAACGCUGGCGGCAGGCCUAACACAUGCAAGUCGAGCGGCAGAAGGGUGCUUGCUCCUGGAUUCAGCGGCGGACGGGCGGGUAAUGCCUAGGAAUAUGCCUGGUUGUGGGGGCUAACGUCCGGAAACGGGCGCUCAUACCGCAUACGUGCUGACGGCGUACGUGGGGGAUCUUCGGACCUUACGCCAUCAGGUGAGCCUAGGUCGGAUUAGCUAGUUGGUGGGGUAAAGGCCUAACAAGGCGACGAUUCGUAGCUGGGGUGUGAGGAUGAUUAGUCACACUGGGAAUUAGGAACGGGCCCGAGUCCUAAGGGAGGGAGGAGUGGGGAAUAUUGGGCAAUGGGGGGAAACCUGGUCCAGCCAUGCCGCGUGGGUGAAGAAGGUCUUCGGGUUGUAAAGCCCUUUUAGUUGGGAGGAAGGGCAGUAAGUUAAUACCUUGCUGUUUUGACGUUACCAACAGAAUAAGCACCGGCUAACUUCGUG
rnacentral:rRNA from 1 species